UGCUGCAGACACAGCCGCACUACAUCUGUCAGCUCCUGGGAGUACAGGCUCACGUGCUGCAGACACAGCCGCACUACAUCUGUCAGCUCCUGGGAGUACAGGCUCACCUGCUGCAGACACAGCCGCACUACAUCUGUCAGCUCCGGGGACUCCUGGAAGUACAGGCUCACCUGCUGCAGACACAGCCGCACUACAUCUGUCAGCUCCGGGGACUCCUGGGAGUACAGGCUCACCUGCUGCAGACACAGCCGCACUACAUCUGUCAGCUCCUGGGAGUACAGGCUCACCUGCUGCAGACACAGCCGCACUACAUCUGUCAGCUCUGGGGAGUACAGGCUCACCUGCUGCAGACACAGCCGCACUACAUCUGUCAGCUCCGGGGACUCCUGGGAGUACAGGCUCACCUGCUGCAGACACAGCCGCACUACAUCUGUCAGCUCCUGGGAGUACAGGCUCACCUGCUGCA